rnacentral:rRNA from 1 species
GUGCCAGCCGCCGCGGUAAUUCCAGCUCCAAUAGCGUAUAUUAAAGUUGUUGCAGUUAAAAAGCUCGUAGUUGAAACUUGGGCCUGGCUGGCGGGUCCGCCUCACCGCGUGCACUCGUCCGGCCGGGCCUUCCUUCUGAAGAACCUCAUGCCCUUCACUGGGCGUGCUGGGGAAUCAGGACUUUUACUUUGAAAAAAUUAGAGUGUUCAAAGCAGGCCUUUGCUCGAAUACGUUAGCAUGGAAUAAUAAAAUAGGGCGUGCGUUUCUAUUUUGUUGGUUUCUAGAGACGCCGCAAUGAUUAACAGGAACAGUCGGGGGCAUCAGUAUUCAGUUGUCAGAGGUGAAAUUCUUGGAUUUACUGAAGACUAACUACUGCGAAAGCAUUUGCCAAGGAUGUUUUCAUUAAUCAGUGAACGAAAGUUAGGGGAUCGAAGACGAUCAGAUACCGUCGUAGUCUUAACCGUAAACUAUGCCGACUAGGGAUCGGGCGAUGUUCUUUUUCUGACUCGCUCGGCACCUUACGAGAAAUCAAAGUUUUUGGGUUCUGGGGGGAUCAUGGUCGCAAGGCUGAAACUUAAAGAAAUUGACGGAAGGUCACCACCAGGCGUGGAGCCUGCGGCUUAAUUUGACUCAACACGGGGAAACUCACCAGGUCCAGAUGAAAUAAGGAUUGACAGAUUGAGAGCUCUUUCUUGAUUUUUCAGGUGGUGGUGCAUGGCCGUUCUUAGUUCGUGGGGUGACUUGUCUGCUUAAUUGCGAUAACGAGCGAGACCUUACUCUGCUAAAUAGCCAGGCUAACUUUGGUGGUCGCCGGCUUCUUAGAGAGACUAUCAACUCAAGUUGAUGGGAAGGUUGAAGGCAAUAACCAGGUCUGUGAUGCCCUU